CCUACGGGAGGCAGCAGUGGGGAAUAUUGGGCAAUGGGCGCAAGCCUGACCCAGCAACGCCGCGUGAAGGAAGAAGGCUUUCGGGUUGUAAACUUCUUUUAAGAGGGAAGAGCAGAAGACGGUACCUCUUGAAUAAGCCACGGCUAACUACGUGCCAGCAGCCGCGGUAAUACGUAGGUGGCAAGCGUUGUCCGGAGUUACUGGGUGUAAAGGGCGUGCAGCCGGGAAGACAAGUCAGAUGUGAAAUCCCGCGGCUCAACCGCGGAACUGCAUAUGAGACUGUUUUACUAGAGUACCGGAGAGGUCAUCGGAAUUCCUGGAGUAGCGGUGAAAUGCGUAGAUAUAAGGAAGAACACCAGUGGCGAAGGCAGAUGACUGGACGGCAACUGACGGUGAGGCGCGAAAGCGUGGGGAGCAAACAGGAUUAGAUACCCUUGUAGUC
rnacentral:rRNA from 1 species